AUUUCUGAUAAUGGUCCCCAAUACAAGAAUGAGUAUCUGAAACUAUUGGAAAAAUAUAAGAUUCGUCCUAAGUUCAAUGCAAAUUUUCAUGCUCAGGCGAAUCCAACUGAAAGAUACAAUAGGACUCUAAAGUUUCUCCUUUCAGCAUAUGCUUCUGAUAACCAUCAGAGAUGGGACGAGAAUUUGGCGGAGCUCACAUGCGCUAUGAGGACUUCUAGGAACGAAACGACGAAGUACACACCUUAUUUUGUCAACUUUGGUAGAAGGAUGAUGUUGUCUGGCGACGAUUAUAAUAUUACUCUGCAAGAAGAUCCUGCACUGAAUUCGACUGAAGAAACGAGGUCUAAAGGGUUCCAGAAGAUAUUUAGUGAGCUAAAGGCUAGAUUGAAGAGUGCAGCUGGGAAGAAUGCUCACUAUUAUAAUUUGAGAAGAAGGAAUGAGGAGUUUAUGGUUCAUCAACCCGUUUAUAGAAGAAAUUUCGUACUCUCUGAUGCUAGUAAGCACUUCACGAAGAAGUUGGCUCCAAAAUGGAUAGGACCAUUUAUAGUUGCCAAAAAGUUGUCACCUUGGACUUACCGACUGCAUGACAACGUUGGCAACGAUAAAGGAGUUUGGCAUGUGAAGGACCUCAAGUCUGACCCAACGGAAAAAGACGACUAAAUUAUGUUAGAUAAUCGUUUAUAAGGUUUCAUUGGUGUUUUGUUUUCUGUAAUUUUUUUUUUGUGAAAUUUUGGGAAAAUUUCUUGACGAAGGGGGAGAAUUUGUAACGUGUGAAAAUUGCCCCAGAGUAUCUGCAACAUCAAAUUGUCUAAUUGUGUUUAAUGUGUUGCCUAAAUAUCGUGUUUUGAUUUUCCGCAUUUCAUUCCUUAUCGUAAAGGUACCAUAUGUUGAAGAUUAUUCCCGAAUGUUCACUCUUGGCAUUUUUCAAUUCGAUUUUGAAACUCUGAAUAGCUUGUGCGUAUAUAGAGGUUAUUUGCUGUUUCUUGUGAAAAUCCAAAUUUUGGGAUAAAGAUAACCGUCUAUAAUUCAACUAUUGCUGAUUUGAUUGUUGGAAUAGCAAUAUUACCCUUUUUGGGGAUUAAAAACGUACUUCGGCUACGAAGAGCAUUCACUUUGAAAGGCCACCCAACAACUUGAGGCCUUUUAUUUCAUGAGUAUUCCUUUUAUUCCUGUUUCGGACUGAACACAUUUCUACGGAUUCUGGCUCGUUCGAUUCUGAAACGAACUUCAUAAACAAAAUUCUCGUACCUAUUUCCCCAUCUGAAGAAAGGAAAAGUAUCUUGGAAGGAUUUUCAACAUUGUGAAUUGGUUGGGAUUCUCGAAUUGGUAAUUUCGUCGAAUAUACAGGACGUCUGGUAUGUAGAAAGAAUUUCUUUUGAUGUUGACGUCACAGGAAGCCAUUUGCAAGAAAGGGGAAUACGUAUUGUUUUGGUCAAUUAUACCUUUUGAAGUGGAAAGUUAAAGGACUUGUUCUCACAUUCAUUCAGAAAACAUCAGAUAUUGUUAUCAUUCCGUUCAUAAACUGUCCCAUAGAGAAAAUUUCAAAACUCAAUACCUCAGAUUGUAUAUUUUUAUUUCAUGAAAAUAUCAUUGCACAUUACAAGUGAAAUUUCAGAUAAAUUUAUAAUACAUAUUUACAGAUUUUGAAACAGAUCCUAAAAUAUAUUAUUUUUCAUCCAUAAACGAUAAUUCUAUAAAUGAAGUGGAAUUCUAGUACUUAAAUUAAAUUUAUUAAAUAUAUAGUGUGUACUAGUAAAAUUCUAGUACUUGAAUUAAAUUUAUUAAAUAUAUAGUGUGUACCAUAUAAUUAGUGCGAUUUUGUGAAAACUACGCUUGAUCAAGCAUAGGGGGUAAAAUACUUGUCAAUUAAGGUUCAUUAUCAAUCAGAAUAGAAUUGUAGGAAAUUGAUAAUAGAAUUUUACAUCGGAA